CCUACGGGAGGCAGCAGUGAGGAAUAUUGGUCAAUGGGCGUAAGCCUGAACCAGCCAAGUCGCGUGAGGGACGACGGCCCUACGGGUUGUAAACCUCUUUUGCCGGGGGACAAACGGCGGCACGCGUGCCGUCCUGAGGGUACCCGGAGAAAAAGCAUCGGCUAACUCCGUGCCAGCAGCCGCGGUAAUACGGAGGAUGCGAGCGUUAUCCGGAUUUAUUGGGUUUAAAGGGUGCGUAGGCGGGAUGCCAAGUCAGCGGUCAAAUACGGGGGCUCAACCUGCGUCCGCCGUUGAAACUGGCGUUCUUGAGUGGGCGAGAAGUACGCGGAAUGCGUGGUGUAGCGGUGAAAUGCAUAGAUAUCACGCAGAACCCCGAUUGCGAAGGCAGCGUACCGGCGCCCGACUGACGCUGAAGCACGAAAGCGUGGGUAUCGAACAGGAUUAGAUACCCGAGUAGUC
rnacentral:rRNA from 1 species